GAAAAUAAAUAGUAAUAGAGUCUGGUCCUAAUCUGAUUUGGUCCUUAAAAUUUAUAUUUUAAAACAUAGAGGCCAUUACACCACUAGUUGUAUAUGCCUUAGACUUUAUAGUUAUAUAGAGUUUUUUUACUACACUGUGGUCAUGGUCAUGGUCAUGGUCAUGGUCAUGGUCAUGGUCAUGGUCAUGGUCAUGGUCAUGGGGUCAGACAGACCAAGAGCUGAGAAACCGUGUUUGUUUUGACUUUUGAGCCAGCAGUCCGCCCCCUAGUCGCGGAGCCAUUGGUAAUUUUGCCAUUAUCAUUUGUGGGCUUCGCCAGUAUGCCAUCGGACCCACAAAUCAUAGACACAGACGGUCCCACCAGUCAUAGACACGGGAUGGCAUAAUAACAGAUAGCCAAAAUUGAGAGUGGCAAAAUAGCAAAUUUCUCCUAGUCGCGCUAGUCUUCUUCACGCCAAAUGGCUGUUGGCUGGUUUUCCAUCUUAUCUGUAUGUACAGAGCUCCUGCAGUCAGUCUGGGGCCAGGCGACGCGCUAAACACGCACGCCGCCUCCGCCUCCGCCUCCUCGCUAUCCUAAUCCUCCCACUAAUCUGGACCAUGAUUGGUCCUCCACUCCAGGGCGACCCCUAAUCUCCGCAGAAUUCCCCGGACGCCGACCACGGUUUGCUCUGCCGGUGUCGCUUUCCACCCUGGAUUUGUGUGGAAGAGUCCUUUAUAUUUAGAAGAGACUUGAGAAUAAAUUGUUAUUCAAGACUAUAUAGAAGAAGAAGAAAAACCAUCUUUAUAUUUAAGAUAAAAUGAACAUCUCCCGUUGGAAGACAGUCUACCAGAGCGACAUCUCAACUCUACCUGGUCUCGAUCCCUAGCACGUACUAGCAAUAAUGGAUCAAUAACCGUAGCUAUAAUUUACUUCAUCACGUGACAAUGAUGCUUAGCUCUGCCUAGCUGCCUACAAUCGCUAGCUGCUAGUGCUACACUAUCUUCCGGGUUCUGACUUUUCCCAGUCGUUGUUGCCAUCGUCACACAAUCUCCCCUUUUUUUAAUCUUCAAGAGUCGACAAAACUUGACACUAACCACAUUUUUUUUGUACAUUUUGUUUUAUGUUUACCUUAUAAUAAAAAGGGGAUAAACAGAGGACUUCCAAUUCCACCAGCAUCACUGUACCAUGCAUGCCGUCUGGGCGCGGCUAUAUAAUACUACUUAAAAUAGAAAAAAAAGAAACUGAGGGGCAUGAAUGAAAUAAAAAAUGAACAACCUCUUCCAUGUGACAACGUGAGACCCAUCUGCGCAUCCAUGGCCUCUCGCCCUCUCCGGCUCUCCCCCCACACACAUGGCCGCCCCCAGCCAGAUCCAAACCAUUAUUCAUCACACCACACACAUCCUCUUCCAAGUCUUUUCUUUAUAUGUAUAUAUAUUAUAAAUAAAAUAUCAUUUAUAAUAGUUUCUUGUGCAGUGUAUUUAUACCAAACAAAAAAGUAAAAAAAAACACACAUAAAUUAAAAUUGCCGUGUAGUAACUGUAGCUCUAUGAGCGGCAGCAGCUGGACAAGUCCGCUGCAGCAGACGUGGGGUGGGGUGGGGGGGGUGGAAUAGGGCAUAAAUUAAAGAAGGCAACUAGCCGGGUCCGUGUCCCCUUCUGUUUCUGGGCUCCUGCCCCUGGCGCUUGGCGCUGGGAGUUCAUUGCAAAAAUAAUACGAAUCCUGCCUAUAAAUCUAUACUACUCCUAUAAGGGGCUAAGGAGGGCGUCCACAGGAUACCGUGCCCCCGCCCCUAUGGUCACUGCGCGCUCGAGACACCGCCCGCACGUGACACCGUGUGCAUGCCCGCCCCCACCCCUUCCCCAGCACGGUGCCCGUCAUCGGCGCCUCUUCUCCCGCCCCCAUCCUCCCCGGCCUCGGCGCCGCCUCCGCCCCUGUCCUCAACAACUCCGCGACUUCUCCGGGCACCGCUCGCACGCCAUCAGCGCCAUCCCCACUACCUCAACUUGCAUAUCGCGCGCCGCCAUCCACCUUGCCCAUCGUGUGUCGCAUGCCCAAAUCUCAUAUUUUUAUGCCCCACGCAGCCUAGGCCAUCCCACCGCAGAGCAGGAAAACCCUAGCGUACCCACGGACCAUUGCUGGCCCACAUGGCAUCCCGGCCUGUGGCCACAUCCAUCUCGGCGCCUCGCCCGCCACACCCAACACGCUGCACCGCCGCCGCCGCUUCUCCUCCCCCACCGCACCAUCGCCCUGAGUACCAUCGCACACGCCGCCGGGGCCGCAUCUCUCCCCGUUAGGGCCCAGCUGAACACUGUCGUCGCCUCCACCUCCGCGUUUGGGCCACCGCAAGAGUUCAGGGCUCCUCUAGGGUUCGAGAUCAAAUCCGGCCAGCAGAGCAGCAUCCUCAGCACCACGCUCACCAUCCCCCUCUACCUCGGCACCGGCGUCUUCACCCUCGGGUACACACCACGCCUUUUCUCACCAUCUGAGCAUUGCCAAGGAGCUCCUCUCCAUCCCCGAUGGCACCCUCGCCCCACCACCGACGACGAAUGGGCGCUUCAGAUUCCUGAUCAGCAGGAGAGUCGUUGAGGCUGAGACGACGACACGAAUGCGGCAAGGAGCUUCAGAUUCACUGCCAUUAGAAACUUGCAGGUAAGAAAUACUGUGGUGGUUUGGACCUCAGUUAUUGGCCAGAUGAAGGGCGGAGGCCAUUAUCAGAUCCUCGUCCACCUUUGGGCUACUGCUGAUAAGAGGACGAGUGUCGUACACCUCUCCAAUUCCCCCCUUCAAUGUGGUCAGUGUUGAAUCAUCUACGUCAUACAGUGAACAAGGGCAUACUGAUGAGAGAAGGGAUGACAUGGAUUUUUCUCAUUCGAGCAUCAGGUUUUGUGCGCUGAUUAUGGUGUGGUCGUUGGUGAGACUGCAACGUCCUCUGUAAUCAUCUCUCUGACAAGUUAGAUUAUGUGCUGAAAUUUCUGUUAUUUUUGUUGGAUUGUAUUGUUGUGAAAGGGGGCAUAGUACGAUGAAUUGGGGACUGAAAGAGCAUAGCAGAGCAGAGGGCCUAUGUAAUAUAAUUUUUUAUGUAUAAAUUGUGCAAAAACAAAUUACCUCUUUUGGGUUUCAAUCAUUUGACAACCCUUGGACCCUGACAUUAUAUUAGUUUACUUACCUUGA